UACAGAGGGGGCAAGCGUUGUUCGGAAUUACUGGGCGUAAAGGGCGCGUAGGCGGCCUUCUAAGUCGAACGUGAAAUCCCCGGGCUCAACCCGGGAACUGCGUCCGAUACUGGAAGGCUUGAAUCCGGGAGAGGGAUGCGGAAUUCCAGGUGUAGCGGUGAAAUGCGUAGAUAUCUGGAGGAACACCAAUGGCGAAGGCAGCUCGCUGGGACGUGACUGACGCUGAGACGCGAAAGCGUGGGGAGCAAACAGG
rnacentral:rRNA from 1 species